CAGAUCACUGCACAACCUUUUUCAGAUGCAGAGACUUGCAAACCUGGCCAGCAAAAUGCUUAAGUUGUGAUCUGCAAUGGACUUCCCUGUGGUGAGGUGGGCCUUCAUGUUCUGAGUUCCUGAAAUGUUGGUGAAGUUUGAGAAAGGGAAGAGAAACCAUGCCACAUCAACUCUGCACAACCACUUCCACCAUGUAUCUAAAUUAAGCCAGCGGUGCCGAGAGAGAGUACCAUGAAACAGUGAGCAGCUGCCUCCCCAGAAGGUUUACAUAAACCUGUGACUAAUAAAUGCAAUCCAGCCAAUGCCUAAGCCCA
rnacentral:lncRNA from 1 species